GACAGAGGGUGCAAACGUUGUUCGGAUUUACUGGGCGUAAAGCGCGUGUAGGCGGCUUUGCAAGUCGGAUGUGAAAGCCCACGGCUCAACCGUGGAAGUGCAUCCGAAACUGCAUGGCUCGAGUCUCGGAGAGGAAGGUGGAAUGCUUGGUGUAGAGGUGAUAUUCGUAGAUAUCAAGCAGAACACCUGCGGCGAAGGCGGCCUUCUGGACGAUGACUGACGCUGAGACGCGAAAGCGUGGGGAGCAAACAGG
rnacentral:rRNA from 1 species